GACGAGCGGCGGACGGGUGAGUAAUGUCUGGGAAACUGCCUGAUGGAGGGGGAUAACUACUGGAAACGGUAGCUAAUACCGCAUAACGUCGCAAGACCAAAGAGGGGGACCUUCGGGCCUCUUGCCAUCAGAUGUGCCCAGAUGGGAUUAGCUAGUAGGUGGGGUAACGGCUCACCUAGGCGACGAUCCCUAGCUGGUCUGAGAGGAUGACCAGCCACACUGGAACUGAGACACGGUCCAGACUCCUACGGGAGGCAGCAGUGGGGAAUAUUGCACAAUGGGCGCAAGCCUGAUGCAGCCAUGCCGCGUGUAUGAAGAAGGCCUUCGGGUUGUAAAGUACUUUCAGCGGGGAGGAAGGCGAUAAGGUUAAUAACCUUGUCGAUUGACGUUACCCGCAGAAGAAGCACCGGCUAACUCCGUGCCAGCAGCCGCGGUAAUACGGAGGGUGCAAGCGUUAAUCGGAAUUACUGGGCGUAAAGCGCACGCAGGCGGUCUGUCAAGUCGGAUGUGAAAUCCCCGGGCUCAACCUGGGAACUGCAUUCGAAACUGGCAGGCUAGAGUCUUGUAGAGGGGGGGUAGAA
rnacentral:rRNA from 1 species